UUAAUUAUUAUAAGUAAUUUAAUCAAAUUUAAUGAAUACUAGAGCAAGAUAUGAGUCAGGCAAAAGGUCCACUCGCUACUGGACGAAUAAAAUAAAUCGCAAGCCGAGUGAAUAAAAAACGCAAGCCAAGGUCGUCGAAUCCUCGGGCGAUGACGAUCCAUGAGCGUUGCUGUUUUAAGAAGACCACCGGGAAGAAUCGGUUCAAAGGCGGUGGCCUUCGUGAUGCUUCAGUGGAGCGAAUGAGCAUUAGGCAAUCGAAUCCGCCCGUAAAUUGCGUCGCGGAGUGAAGAACAAUCUUGCGUCAAUGUCGAUCAACGGAAGAGGAAUCAUUCAAUUUUGCAACGGACGAUUAAUAGCCGAUCGACGGCGACGCCAACGCCGAUGCCGAUAGUCGAUGGCGCCGACACGCUCCUCCUGCGAUCGGAUCGCAAGAACAUUCUUCGGUUUGUAUCGCCUAUAAGCAGAUAAGCGGAACGCCGACGGGUUCCGCAUGAAUCUGCGCAACAGGAAAUUCAAGACGUAUGUCACUAGAAGAGAAGAUGACUCAAGAUGACGAUGAUUUUUUAAUAAGACCAAUUUGCACUCUGAAAAAAUGAUGAGCGAUCUUGCGGUGUUAAGGAAUACUCAUUAAUCUUCUAUCGAGUUGCGAUAAUAAAUCGUGACGAACGUCUCUCGCAAGACAUCCAGCUAAGAUUUUUGCAAGAUAAUAUAUCUACUUAUCAAUAUUUCGCCAUAUUAUGUAAAAAUAUCAUACUUCGAAUAAAUGAAUAUUAUUGGAUGUUAAGAUAUUUUUUUUACAUGUCAAUUGGUUCAAGUUAUAAAAACACGUUCGUGCCGAUAAUAUUUAAUAGCACUAAAUAAAUCGGAAUGAAAAUUUUUAGUACUUCGUUAACGUUUACUCUCAGACUUAUAAUAUAUCUCGAUUUCUCGGUGAAAAUCAUUAUGAAUUAUUGGUCUGCGAGAUGCCAUAGGUAUAUAGGCUUCGGCGGUUCGACAACGACAGAUAAAUCUAAGCGUCGUGGCACCUUUAUCGCCUUCGCCGAUUUAGCAUGACGAGAUGAAGCGGCAUUACGCUAUUGGUCGCGGCCACACGCAGAGAUAACCCAUUCCCGGCUUUAAUCCAUCACGUUCGUUCAGAUACUCCGAAACGAACUUUAAUCCUGCGCUGUUACGUUUUAACUGGCUAUUCGACUGACUUUUAUGGUUUUCUCGAACAGUUCCGCAUUUCGGUACUCUCCCCGUAAUAUUCUCCGGCCGAA